UGUAUUGAUUUUUAAUGAAGUGUGGUAAGUAACUUGCAUCAGUGAAUCCACUCUUCUGCGUCUUGAGAGUAGUAAAAGCCAUCAUAAAUAACACCAAACGUGAAUUUGUUCGAUUGAACAUUCGGAGUCAGCCAAGCGUUAAAUCUGCCCAAAACCACUAGAAGAAGUAGCCGGGUAGAACUGCCUUCAGAUAAGACGACGCCCUAUGACCCUGAACACUUUAAUCCUGACGGCUCACUUCGAACUGUGCACCGGUUGCCAGGUUUUGAACAAGCUUAUGCUCAGGCGCAGAAGGCAAGAUACAUUCGUCAUAGAACUGCCAUGGACAAAGAGAAAGAAUUAAGUGUUAACCAGAUUUUCGACAAGUCCUAGCUUCCCUGGCCAAAACAAAUGUUACGUUUUUCAAAGUAGUCAGUAUUGAUGAUGUGGGAAAAUAUAUUUGGUUUUAUAAGCAAAUAGAUUAUUUUGUUAUGUUAUUAAUAAAUGAAUGAAUUUUUCAAAAAUAUUUUAUCGAUGCAACCGUCACGUGAAGAAAGCUCUAGAAAUAAUUGUAUGAUUUGACCUUUGGUUUCACGUUUUUACUCUACUUCCUCGCUAGAUCUAUUCGUUUCAUUAUGUUGUUCAUCUCCAUUUCUUUUCCAUUUGCUGCUGUCCUUAUAUCCGUUAAUUCAUCUUUUAUUGUCUUCCCACCAUUUCUCUUGGGCUCAUCUUCGCGUCUCGAGAAGUGGAAAACUGCGCGUUCUUAGUAGACUAGAUCUACACAGUGCCAUCUUAUGCUUAAAAAGUUACAUUAAUCUACAGAAGUCACAAAAAGUCAUUAGGAUACUUUGACGUGCCAGUAAAUCACCUACCACGCUAUCUCUACAGUCUACAAGGUCUUGAUUAGCCUGUGGAAACUUUGUCGUCUGUCUGUAGUAUAAUAUGUUAUCCUUGCAAGGUCCUGAUUAGCCUGUGGGUACUUAGACCAUUAGCCAUUCUAUCCUUAUAAAAGUUUGUUUCUAAUAAAGUAAUAUUCUAGAGCAGUGGUGUCUAACCUUUUUCUGCCUUGGAGCUGUAUAAAUGUAAACUUGGGUGAAAUCAUUUUACGUGUUGAAAUUCCACUUUUUUUUCCCCAGUUAUACCAAUAGGUUCCCUAAUUUGCAUAAAGUUAACUGAAAAGUGUAAGUUCAUUUUUGAAAGUCACUGACAUACAUUUCACAGUAUAUAUCCACCAGGGGCGGACUGGGUGUCAAAAUCGGUCCGGGCAUUUCUAUAAAAUUCGGCCCACAAAUUCUCUAUCAUGUGAUGGGCAUUCAUUUCUAGGUGUAUCGGUCCUUAAAAAUCAUUGUUAAGUUUGAUAAUAUAUCGAUAUGCAUGCAUACAGUGAACUCUAUAUAGAGCAAUAUAGAGUCUUUUUAAAUCAGCAAUUAUGUAGGCCCUAAUAGAUGAAGCCUACUAGUAGCACUGUCUACAUUCUACAUUUUAUUUUCGGAAAAUGUGUUCGAUUAAAUAGUAUUACACUGCAAUGUCUGGGAAAGAUUAUUUUUUAAACACAACGCUCAACGCGCCUUUUAUAAAAAUAAUGAUAAUAACAUAAUAAGAAUAUUAUAAAACCUUUAACAACUUGAUAUGUGCCAUAGUGACUUCGAUCAGGCCAUUUCGGUGGCCCUACCGGCCCAUUUGGGUACCGGCCCACAGGGCAUUUGCCCAAAUAGCCAGUCCGCCCCUGAGAUCCACAGUAUAAAAUCCACAGAUGUGGUUCAUUGAAGUUUAUAAUAGUAUACUUUACACUCAGUGGACGUAUCAAUAUUUGUUUCAAUAUAAAUGUUUUAAUAGUAUUAUAUAUAUAAAAGUGUUCAUUGAACAUACACGAUUGCUUCCUUAUGUAAUUAUUGGUCUGUUCAAUGUUCUAUAUUUUAAAGAUUUUCAUUUUAAACCAAUUAAUUACUCUUUAAAAAAAUGCUUGUGAUAAUGAAAAGUUAUGUAUUAAAUUCUGUCACUGUUUAUAAUGUCAGAGAGCUAUUGGUUGAGUUCUAAACAGCAGUCUAGUUAUGCCCUGAGAAUUGAGUUCUAAACAGGAGUUUAGCUAUGUCCUGAGAAUUGAGUUCUAAACAGCAGUCUAGUUAUGUCCUGAGAAUUGAGUUCUAAACAGCAGUCUAGUUAUGUUCUGAGAAUUGAGUUCUAAACAGCAGUCUAGUUAUGUCCUGAGAAUUGAGUUCUAAACAGCAGUCUAGUUAUGUCCUGAGAAUUGAGUUCUAAACAGCAGUCUAGUUAUGUCCUGAGAAUUGAGUUCUAAACAGCAGUCUAGUUAUGUCCUGAGAAUUGAGUUCUAAACAGCAGUCUAGUUAUGUCCUGAGAAUUGAGUUCUAAACAGGAGUCUAGUUAUGUCCUGAGAAUUGAGUUCUAAACAGGAGUCUAGUUAUGUCCUGAGAAUUGAGUUCUAAACAGCAGUCUAGUUAUGUCCUGAGAAUUGAGUUCUAAACAGCAGUCUAGUUAUGUCCUGAGAAUUGAGUUCUAAACAGCAGUCUAGUUAUGUCCUGAGAAUUGAGUUCUAAACAGCAGUCUAGUUAUGUCCUGAGAAUUGAGUUCUAAACAGGAGUCUAGUUAUGUCCUGAGAAUUGAGUUCUAAACAGCAGUCUAGUUAUGUCCUGAGAAUUGAGUUCUAAACAGGAGUCUAGUUAUGUCCUGAGAAUUGAGUUCUAAACAGGAGUCUAGUUAUGUCCUGAGAAUUGAGUUCUAAACAGCAGUCUAGUUAUGUCCUGAGAAUUGAGUUCUAAACAGCAGUCUAGUUAUGUCCUGAGAAUUGAGUUCUAAACAGCAGUCUAGUUAUGUCCUGAGAAUUGAGUUCUAAACAGGAGUCUAGUUAUGCCCUGAGAAUUGAGUUCUAAACAGCAGUCUAGUUAUGUCCUGAGAAUUGAGUUCUAAACAGCAGUCUAGUUAUGUCCUGAGAAUUGAGUUCUAAACAGCAGUCUAGUUAUGUCCUGAGAAUUGAGUUCUAAACAGCAGUCUAGUUAUGUCCUGAGAAUUGAGUUCUAAACAGGAGUCUAGUUAUGUCCUGAGAAUUGAGUUCUAAACAGGAGUCUAGUUAUGUCCUGAGAAUUGAGUUCUAAACAGCAGUCUAGUUAUGUCCUGAGAAUUGAGUUCUAAACAGCAGUCUAGUUAUGUCCUGAGAAUUGAGUUCUAAACAGCAGUCUAGUUAUGUCCUGAGAAUUGAGUUCUAAACAGCAGUCUAGUUAUGUCCUGAGAAUUGAGUUCUAAACAGGAGUCUAGUUAUGCCCUGAGAAUUGAGUUCUAAACAGCAGUCUAGUUAUGUCCUGAGAAUUGAGUUCUAAACAGCAGUCUAGUUAUGUCCUGAGAAUUGAGUUCUAAACUGGAGUCUAGUUAUGCCCUGAGAAUUGAGUUCUAAACAGGAGUUUAGCUAUGUCCUGAGAAUUGAGUUCUAAACUGGAGUCUAGCUAUGCCCUGAGAAUUGAGUUCUAAACAGGAGUUUAGCUAUGUCCUGAGAAUUGAGUUCUAAACAGGAGUUUAGCUAUGUCCUGAGAAUUGAGUUCUAAACAGGAGUUUAGCUAUGUCCUGAGAAUUGAGUUCUAAACUGGAGUCUAGUUAUGCCCUGAGAGUUGAAAAGUAUUGUCAUUAAGAGAACAUCUCUGUGUUCAUGACUGUUAAACUGCACUUCAAUGUCAACAUUAAACUUUACAGGCUAAAUAGAAAAAAAAAGAUAUCUGUUAUUCUAUUUCAUUUCAUAAUGCACCGACUUCUUGUGUGAUUUUUGUUGUUAUUUUGUUUUGAAUAAAAUAGAUUGAGAAAUUC